rnacentral:lncRNA from 1 species
AAUUAUAUUUGUUGCACCGAGAAUAUUGGGCUACGAUCUUUAAGGGAUUCAAAUAAGAAAAUCGAGGCGGGGUUUUCCUUAAAGAUCUUUAGGGUUUGAAGGUUUUGGACAAGAUUGUGACAUUCAGAUCCGAUCGAGUGAAAGCCUUGAGACUAGGUGUGCCAGCAAAGGAGUGGCAUGAAAUGGUUGAUCGUGUUGACAAAUCUUGGGUUUAAC